GACGAACGGCUGGCGGGCGUGGAUUAGGCAUGCAAGUCGAACGGUAGGAUACCUUCGGGUAUCUGAGAGUGGCGAACGGGUGAGUAACACGUAGGUGAUCUACCCUCAAGAUUGGGACAACCCAGGGAAACUUGGGCUAAUACCGGAUGAAAGCAGCAGUGAUGUUGUUUGAAAGGUGGCGUAAGCUGCCGUUUGGGGAUGAGCCUGCGCUCUAUUAGUUAGUUGGCGGGGUAAAGGCCCACCAAGGCGAUGAUAGAUAGGCGGCCUUAACGGGUGGUCGCCCACACUGGGAUUGAGAUACGGCCCAGACUCCUACGGGAGGCAGCAGUCGAGAAUAGUCUACAAUGGCCGAAAGGCUGAUAGUGCGACGCCGCGUGAACGAAGAAGCCCUUCGGGGUGUAAAGUUCUUUUAUAUGUGAGCAGUGACAUCUAUAUUAAUAGUAUGGGUGUAGAGAUAUUAGCAUAUGAAUAAGCAACGGCUAACUCCGUG
rnacentral:rRNA from 1 species